CUGACAGACUGAAGGUUGCCAGCAACGACUUUUGCAGAAGCUGUAGGGACAUCGAAGAAGAAGAGCCUAUAGAACACCUUCUGUGUGUGUGUGUGUCCCACACUAGCAGUCAGAAGGAGUUCCACUUUAGGUUCUCAUUUCUUUGAGAACCUGUCUGAUUUAGCGGAUGUGAACAUUCACAAGUUAUUGGGUUUUUUAAAGCGAUCCCAAUGGACGAAAACGUCUAGGUGAUUGGUUUGUUAAUAAGGACCAGUAUGUCUCUUUAACUUAUUGGUUUAUUUUAAUUUUGUUGAGUUUAAUAUUGAUAUCACCCUGUGUGUUCUCUCUGUCUACUCUGUAAGAGUCUUUAAUCUGGUCUAGACAUCCCAAAAGAGCGUAGUGGUCUGUUAUUGCUGUCAUUAUGACGGCUGCGUAUGCUUUCUCUUUUUCUGCUGCAUCUUAUGAAACGGUGAUCUAUGCAUGUAUUCGAAUUGUUAUUUACGUUUUCUCUUGUUGUCUCUGUGACCAUUCAUUGCAGUCCAUGUGAAGACAGCAACCUAAGAAUCUUUUUAGGCGUAGCUUUGGUGGUCGAUAGAUGAUAUGACAGAAAUUAUUGUAUCGUGUUUAGUAGUAAGACUCAGCUGUGCUUAUGUGUGUUUGUAUAUUGCUGUAUUUGAUGUUUUCGUUUGCAUAUAUAGCAAUACCUCCUCCUCUUCCCACUCUGUUUAUAAAUUAGAGCGAAAUCCAGCAAUUCCGUACAGAACAUUUUCAUCACUUGUUAUACUAGUUUCCGUUGCAAUUAUUAGAUCGUUUUGUUUUAAUAAUGUUAUUUGUGUAUGCUAUUAAGGAAUUAAA